ACGGAAGGUCCGGGCGUUAUCCGGAAUUAUUGGGUUUAAAGGGAGCGCAGGCGGGAGUAUAAGUCAGCUGUUAAAUAUCAGAGCCCAACUCUGUUAUGCAGUUGAAACUAUAUUUCUUGAGUACGCACAGGGAUGGCGGAAUUCAGGGUGUAGCGGUGAAAUGCUUAGAUAUCCUGAAGAACUCCGAUCGCGAAGGCAGCCAUCCGGAGCGUAACUGACGCUGAGGCUCGAAGGUGCGGGUAUCGAACAGG
rnacentral:rRNA from 1 species